UCCUUGUGCACCACGUCCCUCCUGGCGAG
rnacentral:sRNA from 1 species